GUCAGGGUGGCCGAGUGGUCUAAGGCGCCAGACUCAAGUUCUGGUCCCCGGCCUGGGGGCGUGGGUUCGAAUCCCACUCCUGACA